AAUAUUCACCGACUCCUGUAGGAGGCUAAGGAUCAUAAAGGGCUCAGAGGCAAUUGGGCUAGCUCCAAGGGCCAUGGAGAAGUGUAAGAACCCUAACUAAAGUGGAAGUAUCAACAAAGACCAAAGGGAGGUGUUUCCAGAGUAUCAAAAGCUUUGAAAGAAUUUGAAGUUUGGUAUUCUAUUUUAGAAACCUAUAUGUGUUUUUGAUAUGUAUUAGCUUUUGUGUAGUUAAGAGACUGGAAAAUUUUCAUGUAAGGUAGAAGAUUUUUACUAGAGACAUGGAUUAUUAUAUAA